rnacentral:rRNA from 1 species
UACGUAGGGUGCGAGCGUUGUCCGGAAUUACUGGGCGUAAAGAGCUCGUAGGUGGUUUGUCGCGUUGUUCGUGAAAACCGGGGGCUUAACUCUCGGCGUGCGGGCGAUACGGGCAGACUGGAGUACUGCAGGGGAGACUGGAAUUCCUGGUGUAGCGGUGGAAUGCGCAGAUAUCAGGAGGAACACCGGUGGCGAAGGCGGAUCUCUGGGCCUGUCCUGACGGUGAGGCGCGAAAGCUAGGGGAGCGAACGGG